GGCGCGGAGCCGCGCGGAGUGACAAAGCCGCCGCUGCCGCCGCCGGGGGUGGGAGCCGCGCUCGCCCGCCCGCCCCUCGACUCGCGAGGGCGUAAAAGUUUGUCUCAGCUCGAGCAUUCCUAGCGCCAACACGCCCUCAGGUAAAGGUGGAAGUAAAUGGCCACGCUGUAUUGACAGAGCAGGUAGAUGAAACUCAAGAGAAAAGGUGUGGAUAAAUGAAACUAGCCCAUGAUGAACCUGUUUUCUCCGUGACCACAAUAUUAACCAGGAUGAAUGGCGGUGGCAGUGGGCCUGCAUCACAGGUUGCAGCAGAUGUUCUCAAUAUUUCUAUUAAAAUUUCCUUAUUUCCAUAUGCAAGAGGAGCCCCAGAGCUGCAUCCUUAUGGUAGCUACCAUGCCGUGAUGUAAGCUGCCAUUCACUGGGGAGCUUUGGCAAUAGAAUUGGCUAGAUCAGGAAGCCUAUGUCAACUAUGGAACAACAACUUGCAGCUCAUCUCUAUUGAUGAUGGAAUCUCGCUAUGUCACCAGGCUGGAGUGCAGUGGCGCAACCUCGGCUCAGCGCAACAUCCGCCUCCCGGGUUCAAGUGAUUCUCCUACCUCAGCCUCCUGAGUAGCUGGGAUUACAGGAAUCUAAUGACCAUUGAACUGUGGCCAUGACUUCAAUUACAAGUAUUUUCUUCACUAAUGUCAGACUGUGGGCCUUUGUAUAUACACUUUUAACAAACUUUUUGGAAGUGCAAUACAUAUCGCAACAACUUCUCAAUGCUGAAUCAUAGUAUUGGAAGACAUUUUAAGCAACAAUUAAACUCAACUUAUUUACUACCAAUAAUGUACAUAAGUCAGCUGAAGUGAGGAUAACAUGAAUAGCACAAAUACAUUAUGAUUGCUGCCUGGCCAACAGUAAUUAUAAGAAACUGUCAGUUUUGAGAUGUGUCUUGAUUUCAGAGAUGUUAAAAAAGUUUGUAAGUUACCAUUGAUAAAAUAUGAGUUUGCUUCCACAAAUAUUCUUUCUUCUGUCCUUCUGGAACUCAAGAGUAAACAUAUAUUAGAUUUUCUCACCAUUUCAUGCAUGCUGGUUCCUAGGCUACUCUCUGAGUCAUUUUUUUUUUCUUAUCUGCCCUCCAGUUCACUAGUUCUGUCAUUUUCUGGGUCUGAUCUGCUGCAAAUGCAAUACAUUGAGUUUUAAAUUUCAGUCAUUGUGUUUUCAUUUCUAGAAAUUUCAUUUGACUCUUUCUCAAAUUACUUUUCCAUUUUUUUUGUAGUUUCCUAUCCCUGGAGAUAUUUUCAAUCAUGCCAUUUAAUUUUUUAAAUACGCAAGUGUAGUUUUAUAAUUUGUGUCUGAUAAUUCUAAUAUCUGAAGUCUUAGUAGGUCUGUUUCAGUUGUCCUGUAAUUAUGCAUGUUUUUGCCCAUGUUGCUUUGUUUCCUUGUAUGCUUGGUUAUCUUUCUUACUGCCCUUGCAAAAUUAUUUGGAGAGUCCUGGAGGCUUAAAUGAAGAUAACUUUUAGGAAUAAUUUGCAUUUGCUUUUGCCGAGGAUCUUGGGAUCAUUUCAACCAAAAUCUUAGCUUGAAAUUCCGCAAUCAAUCAAGGUGAUGAGAACCUGGUCAGUAAAUCCUAAUGAGGGCCAGGCUGUGGCCAAAGAUUUUUAGACAGAUGUUUCCCUCCUUUGCCAUUUCUCUUUUCUUUCCUCCUCUGCUCCUCUUAGUGUCCAGACAACCUUCAUGGAAGUCCUUGGGGUGGGUGGGAAAUGAGGACGGCAGGUUUCAUUCUAGGUAUAGCCCUUUGAGGUCUAACUUAAUGCAGAGAGAGUUUUCUGGUCUAUGUGCCACCUUACAUGGGAUCUUGAGCCUUGAUUUCUAAACCCCUUGCCUUUGAUGUUUCAGAAUUGAAGCUUAAAUUUGCCAACAGGCAAAUGUCCUCAAGGCAAAUUGGCUUAGGUGUUCGAUAUUCUUCUUACCAGAAAGGUAAACUUGGGUUUUUUACUUCACCCAGGAUUUGGCAUGACAGUUCCCCAUUAUCUUGUCAGCUUAGUGCUUUAAGUGAUUGCAUUUAAAAAAAUUCUGCAUUUUCAGUUUUUAGCAGGAGGAAUGGCCUCAACUAGUGGUUUUCAACUGGGGAUGAUUUUUUUCCCCUAGGGGACAUUUGAUAAUGUUUGGAGAUGUUUUAGUUGUUAGAACUGGGGUUGGGGGAACUACUGUCAUCUGGUGGGGAGAGACCGGCAAUGCUGUUGAUCUUACUAUAAUGCACAGGCCACCCCCAACAACAAACAAAUUACAUAGCCCCAAAUAUCAAUAAUGCCAAGGUCCAAAUAACCUAACCUUCCAUUACUGAAAAUAGAAGUUCAAGAAGAUAGUUUAUAAUUUAAAAAUUUUUAGGUCUUAAUAAGUUGUCAUACUUUCACAGGUUUUAUUUCAUACUAAGUAAUUUAUUUCAAAUUUUACAUUCCAAUUACAGAAAAUUUUCUAAGCCAGUUUUUGUUCUUCAUGAGUAUUACUAUCAAGGUCACAUUUUUCAUCUAGUAUGUUUUACCCUGGUACUUGUUGGCAGGGUCAGGACUAAGGUGAGAUGCGCAAGGCAUUUGCCUCACACAAAAUGCACAAUGAAUAAAAUGUCAAAACUUUAAAUAAAGACAGAAUCACUAAAAGUACUUUGCCAUAUUGGAACCUGAGGCAAAAAGAAAAAUAAGUAAUAAUAUUUAAAAUUUUGAUCUCUUGUUCAUUGUAGAUUUUUACAUUAAUUUUGAUUGUUUAAAACAUUGCAUUAAAAUAUUAUUUAAUGUG
rnacentral:lncRNA from 10 species